rnacentral:tRNA from 2 species
GGAGAGGUGCCCGGAGCGGCUAAACGGGGACCGAAGGCCACGCCUCAAGGUCGGGCUUCAACCAGCCCACGCAGGUUCGAAUCCUGCCCUCUCCG